rnacentral:lncRNA from 10 species
AGUGGUGUCGGCGGCGGCGGCGGCGUCCGCCCCAGCGCGGGGCGCGAGGAACCGGGCGCAGGUUCGGUCGCUGCGCGACCAGGGCCGUACUCACCGCCAUUGUCGGCUCCCUGGGUUCGAAGCCCGCGAAGACUGGUGGGGUCAGCGGGCGGCACGGUCACGCGUCCGCACCCCUGCUAGCAUACGCGCUUGCCGCGCUGUCUGCGCGCUGGAGAAGAGCGCGAUUAUCCGCGUGACUCAUCCAGCCCUCCAUCUCCCCCUCCCUCUCUGCGCUCGCAGGAGUCCGCUCUCGUCGCUCAGCGCCAGUGCCGGUGGCGGUGCCGGCGCUCGGCCUGACCUCGCACGGUUCCUCGCGGGCCCUUCUGCUGAGGGGUGGGGGGCGCUAGGGGUGUGGAGAGGAGGCAGUGCCCAGCACUGUGCAGCGUGAACUGGGAGCCUCAAGAGAAGGCCAGAGGAGUGUUCCGCCGGGAACAGGCGGAAAGAGGCACGAAUGGGGAGUUAUGGUUUUGAUACUUUAAAUAGCGAGAAAGGGAGUGAAAGGGCUCAAGAUUUACUCAGAGGCAUAAGGGAGAGAAGAGGGACUGUGAGGCGCGGAGACAGUUUUCAACCAGCCAUCUCGAAGCCCUUUCCUUUUUUUUUCUUUCUUUUUUUUUUUUUUGUGAGACAGAGUCUCGCUGUGUCGCCCAAGCUGGAAUGCAGUGGCACGAUCUCAGCUCAGUGCAACCUCCGCCUCCUGCGUCCAAGCGAUUCUCCUGCGUCAGCCUCCCGAGUAGCGGGGAUUACAGGCGUGCGCCACGACGCCGGCUAAUUUUUGUAUUUUUCGUGGAGACGGGGUUUCACCAUGUUGGCCAGGCAGGUCUCGAACACCUGACCUCAAGUGAUCAGCCUGCCUCGGCCUCCCGAAGUGCUGGGAUUACAGGCGUGAGCCACUGCCUGUAAUAUUUGAUGACUAAAUUGCACUGUAGAAUAAUAAUAAUAAUAGAAGACACCCAUUAAAGAAGAAUUAAACACUCACUGAUGACUUUUCAAGCCACGCACUCUCCUUUCCACUUUAUGGAUGAGAAAUUGAGUCAUAAAGAGGUGAAAUGGCCAGUAAAGGUCAAAGGACAACUCGUUCCUUCGGCUCAGGCUCCGGGUAGGUCAGGCCCCCCUAAAGGGACUUCCCUGGGAAGUGACCAUGUGCCAGGAAGUGGAGCGAUGCGGUGGGAUCCUAGCUCUCAAAAAGUGCACACCGAGCCCGCCGCAGGCGUC